rnacentral:rRNA from 1 species
GACGAACGCUGGCGGCGUGCCUAAUACAUGCAAGUAGAACGCACAGUUUAUACCGUAGCUUGCUACACCAUAGACUGUGAGUUGCGAACGGGUGAGUAACGCGUAGGUAACCUGCCUGGUAGCGGGGGAUAACUAUUGGAAACGAUAGCUAAUACCGCAUAAUAUUAAUUAUUGCAUGAUAAUUGAUUGAAAGAUGCAACUGCAUCACUACCAGAUGGACCUGCGUUGUAUUAGCUAGUAGGUGAGGUAACGGCUCACCUAGGCGACGAUACAUAGCCGACCUGAGAGGGUGAUCGGCCACACUGGGACUGAGACACGGCCCAGACUCCUACGGGAGGCAGCAGUAGGGAAUCUUCGGAAAUGGACGAAAGUCUGACCGAGCAACGCCGCGUGAGUGAAGAAGGUUGUCGGAUCGUAAAGCUCUGUUGUAAGAGAAGAACGGGUGUGAGAGUGGAAAGUUCACACUGUGACGGUAGCUUACCAGAAAGGGACGGCUAACUACGUG